AGAACGAACGCUGGCGGCGUGGAUAAGACAUGCAAGUCGAACGGGCUUAAUUUUAGAGCAAUCUAGGGUUGAGCCAGUGGCGAACGGGUGCGUAACACGUGAGUCAUCUGCCUGAAAGUGGGGGAUAGCUCGCCGAAAGGCGAAUUAAUACCGCAUGUGGUUGUGAAACCAAAGCCGGGGCAACCUGGCGCUUUUAGAGGAGCUCGCGGCCUAUCAGCUUGUUGGUGAGGUAACAGCUUACCAAGGCAACGACGGGUAGCUGGUCUGAGAGGACGACCAGCCACACUGGAACUGAGACACGGUCCAGACACCUACGGGUGGCAGCAGUCGAGAAUCUUUCACAAUGGGGG
rnacentral:rRNA from 1 species